rnacentral:rRNA from 1 species
AUUGAACGCUAGCGGGAUGCUUUACACAUGCAAGUCGAACGAGUGGCGGACGGGUGAGUAAUAUAUCGGAACGUGCCCAGUAGCGGGGGAUAACUACUCGAAACAGUGGCUAAUACCGCCUACUAUUGGAUCGGCCGAUAUCGGAUUAGCUAGUGGGUGGGGUAAAGGCUCACCAAGGCGACGAUCCGUAGCUGGUUUGAGAGGACGACCAGCCACACUGGGACUGAGACACGGCCCAGACUCCUACGGGAGGCAGCAGUGGGGAAUAUUGGACAAUGGGCGAAACCCUGAUCCAGCCAUGCCGCGUGUAUGAGAAGGCCUUCGGGUUGUAAAGUACUUUUGGCAGAGAGGCGGUAUCUGCAGAAUAAGCACCGGCUAACUACGUGCCAGCAGCCGCGGUAAUAC